UACGUAGGGGGCAAGCGUUGUCCGGAAUUAUUGGGCGUAAAGAGCGUGUAGGCGGCCAGCUAAGUCCGCUGUGAAAUCUCGAGGCUCAACUUCGAGCUGUCGGUGGAAACUAUCUGGCUAGAGUCCGGAAGAGGAGAAUGGAAUUCCUGGUGUAGCGGUGAAAUGCGCAGAUAUCAGGAAGAACACCCGUGGCGAAGGCGGUUCUCUGGGACGGUACUGACGCUGAGACGCGAAAGCGUGGGGAGCGAACAGG
rnacentral:rRNA from 1 species